GGCUCUGUGGUCUAGUCGUAUGAUUCGCGCUUCGGGAGGAAUUCCAUCUCAUCAAAUGAGACUGUGCGAGGUCCCGGGUUCAAAUCCCGGCAGAGCCC
rnacentral:tRNA from 1 species